rnacentral:misc_RNA from 1 species
GAUGAAGAACGUAGUGAAAUGCGAUAAGUAAUGUGAAUUGCAGAAUUCAGUGAAUCAUCGAAUCUUUGAACGCAACUUGCGCCCUCUGGUAUUCCGGAGGGCAUGCCUGUUUGAGUGUCAUGUAGACUCAAUCCCUCGGGUUUCUGAGGAGGUUGGAUUUGGGUGCUUGCCUUCUGGCUCGCCUUAAAGGACUUAGCAGGAUAGCACUGUAGUCGACGUAAUAAGUCUCGUCGGUGAAAGUGUGAUGUCUGCUUACAGAUUGCCCUUGGGCACUUUUGACUCUGACCUCAAAUCAGGUAGGACUACCCGCUGAACUUAAGCAUAUCAAUAGCGGAGGA